rnacentral:rRNA from 1 species
CGCCUACGGGAGGCAGCAGUGGGGAGUAUUGCACAAUGGGGGAAACCCUGAUGCAGCGACGCCGCGUGAGCGAUGAAGUAUUUGGGUAUGUAAAUCUCUAGCAGCAGGGAAGAAAAUGACGGUACCUGACUAAGAAGCCCUGGCUAACUACGUGCCAGCAGCCGCGGUAAUACGUAGGGGGAAAGCGGUAUCCGGAUUUACUGGGUGUAAAGGGAGCGAAGACGGUCCUGCAAGCCAGAUGUGAAAGCCCAGGGC